rnacentral:tRNA from 1 species
GGAGGGUAUAGCUCAGUGGUAGAGUGCUUGCUUAGCAUGCAGGAGGUCCUGGGUUCAAUCCCCAGUACCUCCA